ACCACAGUAGACAAGCAGAAGUUACCUUGCUCCUAGAAGAAAGAGAAAGGACACUCCAAGAUGAAAACUGUGGGGCCGAGACACGUCGAAGUGUAAAGAGCAGCUCUGUGCUGCUGAAGGACGAUUGCCGGGCAUAGCCUCACGCUUGGGAGCUGCCUAGUGACAAGCUGUGUGGAGGGCUGAGCGUGUACCCAGAGCUGGCCCUGUCUUUUAAACUGACUGCUUCCUGGAAGCUCUCUCAGCUGAGACAUUCUGGGAUCCCAAGAGAGUAUGCUGAUCUCUUCAUUAUCUCAGAAUCGAACUGAGAACUGGAACAAGGAUAACAGAGGUGAGGGGCCACAUUCCACUCUCCAUUUCCUGUGAAGCUGCAUUUGUUGACUGAGACAGCAGGCAAGCGCCUGGCCAGCAGUGAAUGACCAUGGUGGCAUAGCCUGGCUUCAAGUCAUGUAUUGAUGUGGGAGUUGGACCAUGAAGAAGGCUGAACGCUGAAGAAUUGAUGCUUUCAAACUGUGGUGCUGGAGAAGACUCUUGAGAGUCCCUUGGACAGCAAGGAGAUCAAACCCAUCAAUCCUAAAGGAAAUAAACCCUGAAUAUUCACUGGAAGGACUGAUACUGAAGCUAAAGCGUCAAUACUUUGGCCACCUGAUGUGAAGAACUGACUCAUUGAAAAAGCCCCUGAUGCUGGGAAAGAUAGAAGGCCAGAGGAGAAGGGGACGACAGACGAUGAGAUGGUUGGAUGGCAUUACUGGCUCAAUGGACAUGAGUUUGAGCAAGCUCUGGGAGAUAGUGAAUGACAGGGAAGGCUGCCAUGAAGCAGUUCAUGAUGUUGCAAAGAGCUGAACAUGAUUUAGUGACUGAACAACAUGGUGGUCUUUAAUACACAAAAGUGCAAAAUUUAUAUACAGCCAAUCUAUGAAGUUUUUCUUUCAAAGUUCCUGCCUUUAUGUAUUAUGUUACUUAGAAAAGGCUUCCCUAUCCUGAUUCAUACAGUAAUUUGCUCUUUCCUCCCCCCGCCCCCAACUACCCCCCACCUUUUUAGGGAGUUACUUUUCAUAAUUUUAAAAAACUCCUCCUGUCAAAUCAAGGUGUCUCUAGAUAGGACUGCAACCAGCU
ensembl:lncRNA